GAAAGCCCCGUACCCGAAGGCGGAAGGGAGCGGCAGGAUCCGGAGUACCACGGGACACGUGGAACCCUGUGGGAAGUCGGGAGGACCACCUCCCAAGGCUAAAUACUACUUAGUGACCGAUAGCGCAUAGUACUGUGAAGGAAAGGUGAAAAGGACCCCGGGAGGGGAGUGAAAGAGAACCUGAAACCCUGUGUCUGCAAGCUGUGGGACACCCAUACGGGGUGGACUGCGUACUUUUUGUAGAACGGUCCGGCGAGUUGCGCCAUGCGGCGAGGUUAAGCACGUAAAGUGCGGAGC
rnacentral:rRNA from 1 species